rnacentral:rRNA from 1 species
GAUGAACGCUGGCGGCGUGCCUAAUACAUGCAAGUCGAGCGAACGGACGAUAAGCUUUCUUCUCUGAUGUUAGCGGCUGACGGGUGAGUAACACGUGGAUCACCUACCUAUAAUACUGGGAUAACUUCGUGAAACCGGAUCUAAUACCGGAUGAUAUUUUCUACCGCAUGGUUCAAAAGUGAAUGACGGUCUUGCUGUCACUUAUAGAUGGAUCCGCGCUGCAUUAGCUAGUUGGUAAGGUAACGGCUUACCAAGGCAACGAUGCAUAGCCGACCUGAGAGGGUGAUCGGCCACACUGGAACUGAGACACGGUCCAGACUCCUACGGGAGGCAGCAGUAGGGAAUCUUCCGCAAUGGGCGAAAGCCUGACGGAGCAACGCCGCGUGAGUGAUGAAGGUCUUCGGAUCGUAAAACUCUGUUAUUAGGGAAGAACAUAUGUGUAAGUAACUGUGCACAUCUUGACGGUACCUAAUCAGAAAGCAACGGCUAACUACGUG